rnacentral:rRNA from 1 species
UACAGAGGGUGCAAGCGUUAAUCGGAAUUACUGGGCGUAAAGCGUGCGUAGACGGUUACAUAAGUCAGAUGUGAAAGCCCCGGGCUCAACCUGGGAAUUGCAUUUGAGACUGCGUAGCUAGGGUGCGGAAGAGGGAAGCGGAAUUUCCGGUGUAGCGGUGAAAUGCGUAGAUAUCGGAAGGAACACCAGUGGCGAAAGCGGCUUCCUGGUCCAGCACCGACGUUCAGGCACGAAAGCGUGGGGAGCAAACGGG